AGAACGAACGCUGGCGGCAGGCCUAACGCAUGCAAGUCGAGCGCCCAGCAAUGGGAGCGGCGGACGGGUGAGUAACACGUGGGAAUAUGCCUUUCGGUUCGGCACAACUCAGGGAAACUUGAGCUAAUUCCGGAUACGCCCUUACGGGGAAAGAUUUAUCGCCGAAAGAUUAGCCCGCGUUGGAUUAGCUAGUUGGUGAGGUAACGGCCCACCAAGGCGACGAUCCAUAGCUGGUUUGAGAGAACGACCAGCCACACUGGGACUGAGACACGGCCCAGACUCCUACGGGAGGCAGCAGUGGGGAAUCUUGGACAAUGGGGGAAACCCUGAUCCAGCCAUGCCGCGUGAGUGAUGAAGGCCUUCGGGUUGUAAACUCUUUUGGCGGGGACGAUAAUGACGGUACCGCAGAAUAAGCUCCGGCUAACUUCGUGCCAGCAGCCGC
rnacentral:rRNA from 1 species